CCCAGAGUGAAGACUCAGCUACUUGAGCCAAGAGAAACCAAAGCAGUGCAGAAAGAGACAAAAGCCUGGCCUCGGCCUCCACCAAAUGUACGACCAGAGGAAACCACCUCUGUGAAACCUGUAGCCACUCGUCAGUCCACAGCCAGGAAGAGAUCCA